rnacentral:lncRNA from 1 species
GGCCAAUCAGGGGGCGCGGCCGAGGCAGCCGGGCCCGGGUUUUAAACCAGCUCCUCCGGCGCGCGGCCUCGGAUGAUGUGGGGCGCGGACGCUGUGCGGCUGCCGGAGGGAACGCCGGGCGCCCCGUUAGAUGCGAAUGUCACACAGAAAGGAAUACUUAUUUUGGACAACUCCGGGAUCUGAAGAUAAAGGAAUGAGUAAAUUUGUCUGCAUCCAGCUAUAUCCCCAGAGAGGCAUUCUCCACAGCAACUUGCUUUUCUUAAAUGCUGACAGCUGGAUAGCAAGAGCAGUUCCAGCUCUCACGUUCACACAGAAUGCCAUCCAGAGACCAUACACCGCAGUUGCUCUCUGUUUGAAAGUGCAGACUGUGAAAGAGGAUGGCUUUUACAGAUGGACUGGCAUGAUGUGGAAGAGUCAGAAGCACAUGCGGAAUAAGCAGGGCCUGGAAGACGGGAGUGACCACAAGAUCAAAUGUCACCUAGGAGUUUGCCGAAAUCCUCGAGAGGACCUUGGACAUUCAUAUACUCUGAAAUUGAGGAUUUGAACCAAUCUUGGACAUUCAUAUACUGUGAAAUUGAGGAUUUGAGCGAUCAUAAGGUACCAUCACCUCUAGGUGACAUCUAUAAUCCUUCAACAACUCUAACAGGUCGUCAUUAUUACCUAUAUUCAUGGAUAAAAAAAGCUAUUUCAAAGAAAUGGAGUUGCCUGUCUUAGUUCACAUAGAAUUAAGCUGAGUCAUGGAUUUCUUACUAUGCUGAGUAACUGAUUUUCAAAUAAAGGGAAUAAUCUAGAUAAGUUUCUUUAUAAAAACAUACAAUAGUAAUGUGUAAAAGUGGAACUUUAUGGUUUCUCAGAGGCCUUUGUAUAAUUCCUGAUCUCUAACGUUGAUGAUUUCUUGGGCUUACUGUGUUGUCCUGUAUGGGCAACUUAAUAGUUUGCAAGUUAGAGAUUUGUCUUUGCAGCACAGUUAUUUUGUUAAAUAGAAUAAUUAUAUUUGGUACUUAAUGGUUAACUUAAUAUUAUGAGCCCUUAAGUGACAUUUUUAAAGCUCAUACUCUUUAUUUUGCAACACCUUAAACCUGUUUCACAUCAAAUGUUUCUACAGAAAUUUCAGGUGAAGGGCAAAUUGAAUUUGAAUCUAUGGUUCUUCCAAGUUAAGCUUUUGCAUGUUAUGGCAGGUUCUUAAGGCACUUUGGUUCUCAUUUUAGAAGCGCCUCCAACGAUGCCUAAAUAAAAGCUAGGUUUGAAGCCUAAAAUACAUUCCCUUAGAACUUACAUGUAUGUCUGUCAAUGCAAGUAAGUGGAACUGUCACAGACAUACUAAAACCUAAGCAUAUGUAAAUCUCAACAUAGAAGGCAAAAUAUCGUUGAUCCAGUCCUGUUUGCGAUAUGGAAUAAUGGAUCUGUGAUAGAAUUGGUUGUCUAAUACUUCACCAGCCUGUGAGUACAUGACACCACACAAAAAAAAAUGGCUCGUAGAACCCAUGUACCUAUGCAGGACCAUGGCCUCUCUCGUUAUUUUGGGUUGUCCGCAGUCUGGCGGUGAGUUGCCUGUGCUCAGGAACAUAACCACUUACAAUCUUCUUUUAGCAGUUCUUGUCAAUACUGCUGGGCACUCCUUCUGCUGAUGGUGCUCUCUGUGGGAAUGCUGCAUAAAUGUUCUCUGCUAUGGCCACCUGAACACUCAGGGUGCCUUGCAUGGCUGCACUGUGUGGGAAGGAAGAAUGGGCUUCAUCCUAAGUCCUCUUCCCAGCACUGUUUAUACACUUGGUCCAAGAGGGAGCUUCCCACCUCAGGGUAUACCACAGGUGAUGAAGGAUUUAUGCCCUCAGCACUCUGGGUGGCUGGGCAGGGCUGAGGGGCAUAAGGAGCCCCUGUGUUGGUCAUGAGCUGUUUCAUCCAUUUCCCCAGAGUGUUCAAAUAUUAUUCCUUUCUGUGUGGCAAUGAUAUGAAGUAUGGUGAGUACCA